rnacentral:rRNA from 1 species
UACGAACUGUGCGAACGUUAUUCGGAAUCACUGGGCUUACAGGGUGCGUAGGCGGCUUGUUAAGUAGGGUGUGAAAGCCCCCGGCUCAACCGGGGAAUUGCGCCCUAAACUGGCGAGCUGGAGUGAGAUAGGGGUGUGUGGAACUUCCGGUGGAGCGGUGAAAUGUGUUGAUAUCGGAAGGAACGCCGGUGGCGAAAGCGACACACUGGAUCUUGUCUGACGCUGAGGCACGAAAGCCAGGGGAGCGAACCGG